AAUCAAGUCAGUAUACAUAAAGUUAUCCAUUGUGAGGGUUUGUUGUUAUGCUUCUUGAAAGACCAUACUAGGGUUGUGGUUUGGAAUCCGUAUU
rnacentral:sRNA from 1 species